rnacentral:ncRNA from 1 species
GCCUUAUACAGAUAUAGUGACGCAAGACAGUGGCGUAUCUCCCUGUAAGGUGGUGUUAAACAUAGAAGUAUGAGUGACAAAUUCUAUUGUGUGGCUUCUGAGUCGAAAUAGAAUGAGCUUAUACGGAAUGGGUUAACCGUAAGACCUUGAAUUGAAAACUUCUAAAAUCGACCUAGUGAUACGAAAAUAAUUCUCGAUUUUCAUUAUUUCUAGUUACGGUGGA